AUUAUAUAUUAACCUGAUCUGACUAAGAUUUAUAAUAUAUGGUGCUCUCACUUUCCUGUGCAAACUUUGGUUCUGCUGCCCUGCCAGAAAAGUGUCAACCAUUUUCCUACCAAUGCCAGUAUGAACAGGGCAGGAGAGCUAAACAUGGGUACCUGGAGGUCAGAGGGGUGAGGGAGGUGGAGAAACCAGGAGAAGAUGUGGGUCUGAGGCCUCCCUGGGCCUUUCCUCAAAAGUGGAGGUGAAUCAAUACUUCAGGAAAGCAAGCUCUCGGCUCUCAAAUGCUCCUCAUCGACUAAGCCUUUUAGAACUAGCAAGAUUCCCUCACCUGGUUGAGAGAAUACAUAACUUUCUUACUCACCCCAAACCCACUGGUGUGUCUUGCUAACAAAAACACUGGACACAACCCUCCUAUUUGACAGCAAAAUUGGCCAAAGGGAACUGAAAUAUCUUAAGGAAAAGGAAUUUUCCCCAAGAUAGGUCCUUUUCCCCACCCCCUACCCUGGAGUUUGGUGGGGAGGGCUGUGCUUUGUUUGUUUGUUUCUGUCCUCCUCUGCAUCAAACCAGCCUCUCCUGCCCAGCCUGUCACAGAACCAAGGUCUGCACUACGAAAGGGGUCAGCACCCAGGGACGGGCACAGCUUACAUCACCCUGAUCUGAUCAUUGUGACGUCGGUAGCUUCAUAAAUACUGUAUGUACCUUGAACAAGGUUGUAAUUUGUAUCAAAAUUCUUGUACAAUUUUUAUAUUAAAGAUUUAUCAGUCACUG
rnacentral:lncRNA from 1 species